UGGGGGCAACCCUGAUCCAGCCAUGCCGCGUGAGUGAUGAAGGUCUUAGGAUUGUAAAGCUCUUUCGGCAGGGAAGAUGAUGACGGUACCCGCAUAAAAAGCCCCGGCUAACUUCGUGCCAGCAACCUCGGUAAUACAGCCGCGGUAAUA
rnacentral:rRNA from 1 species